rnacentral:lncRNA from 1 species
CCUAAGUUCUUAUUGGUCGACAUGUAUAGAUCUUGAUUUCGGUCAUUAAUUUAGCUCAAAUUCAUGGACUAUAUGUAGAUUGUGAAAUCUGAAUUUUGGAGCAUAUUUUAUAAAUUAAGUAGAUCAUACAUAUUGGACUUGGAAAUUGAAUUAGGAGAAAACCUACGAUUUGGACCUGUCACCAGUUUUAACUACCUGAUUUAGCUCUAGGAGCCGUUAGAAAAUUGUACUGUCGCAGUUAUUCGAGACGAGUACUCCAGGUAGUUUAGAAUGUAUUUACACUCGUGCUCGUCCGCCGAGUGGAUUUUUACAGGGUCGUUCAGGUUGUUUCGGACUGUUGGGUGCCGUCAGAGUUGACGGUGGACCCGUAUCGCCUUUUUGGGCGUCAGAUUGUGCCGAGGGCACUUACCUGUUGGUUGUUAGACCAUUUUGAGUCGAUUACUUGACUUUGGCUAGUUGGAGCCUGUUUGAGCUCGACAGAGAUACGCUGCAUACUCGGUUGGGUAGCGCCCACGAGUGCCACUCCGGAGUCAGGCUUGUGCUUUCGCGUUGGUGUCGCUCAUGCCAGUUGGACUUGCUCUCCACGGACCAGUUGGUGUGGAGGUAGCUGGAUAGUCGCAACGGGGCAGGGACGGGUGUGUUCACAGUCCCAGGGACGGGUAUGUUUAUAGUCCCGAUUGGAUUGGGUCAGAUUGACAUUUUCUACAGUUGGUUAGUGUAGAGCAUGAUAGUGUAGUGAUUGAUAGCGGUAGAGCGUACUUCCUGCUUUUCCUACUAUUCUUGCUCCCUUCUGUAGACUUAGUGGGUGACCGAUGUUGUUUUGGGCGGUACCCACUGAGGACUACUUGUUUUUACAGUAGUUCUCACGCCCAGUUGUUACUCUUGUUUUGCAGAGCCAUAGGUUUCGGCUGCUGCGCCUUCCGCGGAUCAGGAUCGAGGCAAGGGCGUCGCGAGUUAGAGCCCUACCUGACGAGCAGAGUUAGAGGCACCCCUACUGCAGGUAGAUGUUUUGUUUCGAGUUUAUGUACAUAGUUUACCUAACUCGCCAGUGCGAGUAACUCUGUAUUUUGGAUUUGAGCUAUGUAUAUGAAACUCAAUUUGUUUAGCUUUUGUUUUCUCUAGCAGCUCUAUACUACUGUUUGUAGUAUUGUAUGUUUACAGGUACAGCUGUCGCUUCGUGUACAGAGAAAACUCCUUUGUAUACGGCGGGUUUGUCGGCGUGCCCGGGGAACGAGACAUCCGGGGCGUGACAAUAAUGAUGAAUAGACAGCGGCAAUUAAGAUGAUUUAAUUACUGCCGCACACGAGACAAAAGUAGAGAAUACGAUUAGGGCCGUAAAGAAGAGAAUAAACGGCUUAGAUUAAACCGUACAGAAGAUCGUGGCGCAGAAUACGUCAGAGAAUUUGAAUUUGAUUGGACCGGAAAAUACGCCUCGGAUUAAGCUCAUUUUCGGCAACAGAAAAUUGUUUGAGAUAAAAAGGUAACGCCAGCUACUGAAGCAUCGCUUCGAAAACUGGCGAGGGGGCAAUUAUUGAGCUAGUUAGGCGCGAACAGCUGGCACGCCGGGUUCAUAUCCGAAAGACGGCUAAAACAGUAGACCUAUAGUACACCGGACGCACACGAGCCGCACUGGAUCGAGGAGUUAUAGCAACCGCAAGCAGUUACGAGCGGUUCCGAUCGGUCGAAGGUGGUCCUACGAAUCAGGAGAUAGUGGCUGAUCGUGCAAGAGCAAUAACUAACGCAAGGGCGGUAUAAAUAGGGAUACGAUACCCUGAAAAAAUGUCAUCGCCCCUGCGCACAAAAGACCACCUUUAUUUUUCUACAUCUUCCUUUCCUGCAUUUACUGCUUUCCAUAGGAGUAGCUCUCGUAACUUAGCAUUCUUGGAGUCUGUCUGCCCUAUGGGCAUUACUCUCCUGUUCUCAUACCUGGAGUCUGUCUGCCAUACGGGCAUCACUCCCCUAUUCCUGUAAUCUUCUAUUUUCUAUUAAAUAGAAAGUCGUUUUUCGGCUCCCCUUGCCGAUCAGAUCCCGAGUUGUUCAGCCAUUCGGCUAAUCUUUCAGUCGAACUCUGGGCUUCCCCUCUUCAUUCGGCUCAUCCUGCCGAAGCGAAUUUACUGUGGAGGUCUUCGAACCCGGCUGAUUCGAUCCCUCAUCGGCCGAAUCGCUUGAUCCGUCGUGGGCGCAAACUUCGAGGGUCAAAUCCGCGGCCGCGUAUCAUCCCGACGCCCUUCCCGAGGAGAAUACUUGACCGGGUCAAGGGUCGGGACUUUCGGCCGCCAACACAUCCUUAACUAACUAAGUCGAACAAUUAAUAGUCUAUGUCAUGAAUAAAUAGAUGAUGGUUUAUAUCUAGCUACCAUAUCAUUGACGAGUUGACUUGGCCGGGUAUUCCAUUAGUAAACCGAUCUAUUUGUUUUCUUGGACUUCACACUUAGACCAUAAAAAAAAAAAAACUUUUCUUUGCCUUAAGAUAAGUAAACUAGUUAUUUGUAUGUAUUAAAAUGAUAGAAUAUACAUAAGUUGAAUUACUUUUUCUUUUUGUAUAUGAUUUGCACACGGGUGUUGGAAACAAAUAUGUGGACGUUAGAAUUCCGAUAUAUUAAUGGAGUUGACGCCUUAGUUGUUGCAAUGGAACCGGAGCCAAUUAUCUUGGGGUUGCGUCCAGAUACAUAUAUAUUAAUAUUGUAGCUGGUAGCGCAACUUGUUUUAAUUUUUUUGUUUGCUUAGUAAUAACUAAUCCUAUUUAUCUACCAUUUCAGGUCUAGUUCAUUAGAUCUGUUGAGAGAACUAUUGAUGAGGAGUUAACUAGUUGGAUAAUAUGUAUGCAAUUUUUUUGGUAGACACUUGCCUUAUUUAUCUGUUUAAUAAUUUCUUUUUUGAAUUUUUCAGUUAUUUUCUAAACUAUUUUAUUUGGACUAUUGGUUAGACAUAUGCGCUAUUUGAUUAAUCAUUGGAGUUAUUAGUUGAAAUUAAUAUUUGUUUUUAAUAUUGGGUCUUAAUGCCUUCUAUGUUUGAAGUGUUUUAUUUUCAGACACGUACGUUGGAGCGUGAAAUAUGGUUUGUACGUGAAACACGGUUUGGGAUGAAUUGGGUGUGUUAUUUACUUAACAACUGGAGUUGCUAGUCAGAAUUAACAUUUGUGUCUAAUAUUGUCUCGACGGUUUUGGUUGUCAAAGGAUCUGUUCUCUAAACAUGUUAGGAUGCGAAACACGAUUUGAAAUGAACAUGUUUGGGACAUGAAACACAGUUCCAUUAGGGCGAUCAGGUUUGAGGGGUGUGAGACACAGUUCUGUUGGUAGUUAAACACACAUUAGGGUCUGUUUGGUUCUAUUGCUAGUUAAACAUACAAUAGGGUCUGUUUGGUUUGUGUUUUAUAGUAUUACUGGUAAUCUUAAUAUGAUUAAUAAUCUGGUUAUUUGGAUUACUGCUAGUGUCCCAUUAUUUUGUUUGGUUCAGCAAUGUAAUAUCCAAUUACGGCAUAUAUAAGAUUAUUUUGUUUGGUCAUAUUAUAUAUUUCAGUAAUUAUAAUAGUGAAGAUAAUAUUAUUUUGAAAAUAUCCUUAUAUAUUUUAUUUAUAUGAAAUUUAAAUGUAAACUUUGAAUUUAAGUUUAAAUUUAAUUGCAAAUUUUUAAUUUAAAUUUAAAUGUUGGUUCAAAUUUUAAAUUCAAAUUCUGAUUUUAAGUUUGAAUUUUGAAUUCAAAUUUUAAUUUUUAAUUUGAAAUUUUAAUUUAAAUUUAAAUUUUAAUUCAAAUUUUAAAUUUAAAUUAAAACUUAAAUUUUUAAAUUUAAACUUAUUUUUAAAUUUCAAAUUUUUAUUCAAAUUUUCAAUUCAAAGUUUAAAUUCAAAAUUUGAUUGCGAAUUCCAAAUUUAUAUUCAAAUUUAAUUUUUGAAUAUUCAAAUUUUUAAUUUUUAUUUAUCUAAAUUCUAAAUUUGAAUUUAAAUUAUGAAUCAUAUUUCAUUUUAAGUUUAGAUUUAGCAUUACAGGCCCACCAAGCGAAAUGGUUUUUUGGUCACGGCUAGAUAUUUUAAAUUUUAAAUUUAAAUUUAAUUUAAAAUUUUUAAUCUAUAUAAAAAAAUUUAACUCAAAUUUCAAAUUAAAUCAAAAUUUUAAGCUCAAAUUUGAAAUUAAAAUUAAAAUUUUUGUUUGAAUUCAAAAUUUAAAUUUAAAUAUUUUAAGAAUGAGAUAUAAAAAUAUAAAUUUAUUUUCAUUUGAGGUAAUUGGGGUGUGGAGGGUUAAUUUAUAACUUUCUAUAUAUGAGUUGUAUAAUAACCGGCCAUCAGUAAUGCUAGAUACUCACCCACUCUUUGAUAAUAUUUUGGGAUUAUCUCGUGUUACUAGUAAUUAAUGCUGUAUUAUUAAUGGGAUUAUUUCCGGGAUAAACAAAAUAAAAUAAUCUAAAAAAAUUUCUAUAGAAUACUCUGUAAUCCUGCUAAAAUAACGCGAACCAAACAAACCCUUAAAUUAAACAAAGACUUACAUGUUGUAUAUGUAGUGUUCCGGAGUUUUAGAUAGGAUUGGCUACAGUUUUAGUGACUGGUCGACACAUCCGGAGAGUGUUGGACUGAGUCGGAGUUAUUUCUGCACGAAAUAGAUGUAGAAAUGGACUCGGCGCACUCAAAUAAGUAAAACUGAAGUUUUGCUAGUUUCGGGCACUCAGAACUGGAUUUGGGUCACCCAGAACUCGAGUGCUGGUUUGAACAGAAGUGGAAGCCAAUCCGGAUCCUGAUUUCGGGAGCCCACAAGUGGGUCUGAAAAUUCACUUUGUGAAUAUCGCCUGUGCUGACAUGUGUAUGUGGUAGGUGAGUUUUGCCGGACCAUGUUAAAGGUGCAGCACACCGCGGGCGGAGGAACUAAAGGAGAGUAUUUGUGCAGGCUGGAUGUUUCGGACGCCCGGAACAUGGUUCCGGGCGCCUGAAAAGGCCCGUUUCUGUAGGGACAGUAGGUUUGUGUUCUUUAUCCCUGGGGCUUAUCGGACCCUUUCACCUCACUAUAAAUAGCUAGAGUUCGACCCCUGUAAAUCCUUUUCACCUCUUCUUCACAGGGAAAGCCAAAUUAGCACUUUAGCCCCUCAAUUACUCCAAAUUCCACAGUCUCCACCUUGUAGACUGCAGUUCUAGUUGAAUUCCAGCAGCGACCUUCGGCGUUUUGGCCCAUGUGCGACGUAGGAAGUUUCGUUUGCCACAAAAUUUGGUUUGUUGGUUAGAAGACUUCCUGAAGAUUCCGUAGAGCCCAUUUUGACAGCAUUUGAGUGAGAUUAGCAUUAUCAAUUCCAUAUUUUUCUGAGCUAUUGUGAUGUUUGAGCUGAAAUUGACAGUUUUUGGGUUUUCUUGAUGCAAUUUUUGGAGGAAGUUGGAUUUUGGACCAGAGGGUGAUAGGGUGAUACUCCAACAUAGUUCACUGGAUUUGAGACCUUUGCUCACCUGAAUUAGAGAUUGAUAGGUGAGUUUUGAUAUUGGAAUUGGUGGAUUAAGCUUAAGUGCUGAAAUUUAGGAGUUGUAAUGCAAGUUUUGGUGUUUUUCAUGUUUAGAUCUUUGGAGAAGUUUGGUUGCUGAUUCUGAGUGAUUUCGGCUGAUCUCAGCAGGGUUUCCAAUAACUUCGCGACCUCGUUCUGCCGUGGAUUAGCGCUAGAGGUGGUUUAAUGAUGUUUAUCGAAAUUUAUAGGAUUACCUUCUAAGCUUAUAUGUUGUUAGCAUGUGUUUUACCUUUGUUCUUCAUGUUAGUAGCUCAAUUCUAUGAUUAGCAUAAUUCUAAAAUCUGAAUUGGAGUAUAAAAUAUUAGCUAAAAUAUAUAUAUUGGACUUAAAAUUAAUUUAGGAGAAAACUAGCAAUUCUACACCGUCAUUUAUUAAAACUACUAGAUUUAGCUCUAAGAGCCGUAGUUUGUUUGUAUCGCCGCAGUUUGCGAGCGGUGGAUACUCAGGAUAGCGUAGAAUUCAUUUACGCUCGUGCUGGGAUGGCGAGCUUAUUUUACCGUAGUAUAUAGACUGUUCCGGACUGUCGGAUGCCGUUGUGGUUGACGGUAGACCCAGUUUGCAGUUUUUGCAUCGAAUUGUGCUAAGGGCACGUAGAUUAUGGUUGUUAGACUAGUGAGACCUUUCUACUUUGAUUACAGCCUGUGAGAGCCUGCUUGAGCUCGCACUUGCCCCGACACUCUCCAGAGCUGUCUACAAGCCUCUCCUGCUGAACACCAGGGAUACUAUAAUAAAAUUAAACAAAAAUAUUAUAAAGAUAAGGUUUAGAUAAAGCCUAUGGAUCGAGGCGUAUAGAGCACUGUUCUAGAAGCGAAAUUGCCCCUCCACGUGUGAGGCUUCCCGGCAAUUACUCCUAACGAUACAAUGACCAUGUUUCACCCCGUCGGCACGCUUCCAAGGUGGUGCAAGACGAACUCAGCAGGCUUCAAAUCCAGCAAAAGAAAACUCGGGGAAAAUCGAAAACUCGGCGGAAAAAAUUAAUGGCGAAAAAGCAGGAAAAGACGGGAGGGUAUAGGUAUGCUCGGUUUCUUCUUUAACUCGUGCAACCUCGCCCAAUAUUUAUAACCAAGGCGAGAAUCUUGUUCCAACACGUCAAAUCCGAGUAGAACAAGUGUGAGAUCCCUGGUGUCUGGUUGUGGGGGCUUGUCGACAGCUCUGGUGAGUGUCGGGACAAGUCCGAGUCGCGUUGGCGUCAAAGAGACGCAAAACGGACUCCGUGCGACGCGAGAGCAGCCUUCAGCGAAGAAAUCUGCAAAAUAGCAGAUUUUCCUGCUGGCUGUACCGGUACAGCCAGCGAGGUGUACCGGUACGCUAUACUGGCCGAGCGCGUACUGCUCUCGGGUUAGCUUCCUGUACCGGUACGCGAUCCCGUGUACCGGUACGCCAGGGUAGGUGAGGGGCUUUUUAGUAAUAUCACCUUGCCUUGUUUGUAUCACCAUUCCAUCCCUUACUUUAUACGUGUAGGAGCAGAGAGAGAGAGAGCUAUUUGCUGCCCAUUUCCUUCUCUCUCUCCCUAGCAUUGAUCGAAUAGGUGGAGUUCGGUUGGAGCUCGGAUUCGACACCGACGUUGCGCCGCGAAGCCGUUCGGGGAUACGGUUGGGAUCGUAGCGCUGCGAGGAAGCUAGGCGAGGGUGCGUUGUUGCCGUUCUCGACGCCGUGUCGCUGAUCGAUUAGCCGUUGAGGUGAGCGUUCCGUGCGUUGCUUCAAGUAUUGACAUUUCGAGCUAAGUGCUGUUUUCGCAGAAUUUCACCGUCGACUGUUGGUAUUUUGGCUCGUUCUCGACGUAGGAGCAUCGGAUUGUGACGAGACUUGGCUCGUUGGAUUCGGGACUUCGAGAGGAAUCCACAGAGCCCUCACUUGCAAUUUUUGGUCAAGGUUAGCAGGGUCGAAAUCAUGCUCUUCUCAGCUGCUGUGAUCGGGGACUGAAUUGUGAAUUUUUGUCGUUUUAGCUUGGCGUUGGCUUGGCGACCGGACUUGGAGAUCCCCGAUUGAUCCAGCGGAGUUCCUUUUAGGCCGAGGCUUCGUUUGCUGCCAGGAGAUAGCACUUUAGGUGGGUUACAUCGGUUCGACUCCUAAGUUCAUAAUCGUCGACAUGUAUAGAUCUCUAUUUUGGUAAUCUAGUUUGGCUCAAAUUCUUGAAUGAUUUUAGAUUGGUAAAAUCUGAAUUCUCGAGCAUGUUUCAUAAUUUAAAUAGAUUAUACAUGUUGGACUUGGAAAUUGAAUUAGGAGAAAACCUGCGAUUUGGACCUGUCACCAGUUUUAACUACCUGAUUUAGCUCUAGGAGCCGUNN